GCUUUGGUGGUUCAGUGAUAGAAUUCUCACCUUCUAUGCAGGAGACCUGGGUUCAGUUCCUGGCCAAUGCA
rnacentral:tRNA from 1 species